rnacentral:rRNA from 1 species
CAGCCGCCACGGUAAUACAGAGGGUGCGAGCGUUAAUCGGAUUUACUGGGCGUAAAGCGUGCGCAGGCGGCUUUUUAAGUCGGAUGUGAAAUCCCUGAGCUUAACUUAGGAAUUGCAUUCGAUACUGGGAAGCUAGAGUAUGGGAGAGGAUGGUAGAAUUCCAGGUGUAGCGGUGAAAUGCGUAGAGAUCUGGAGGAAUACCGAUGGCGAAGGCAGCCAUCUGGCCUAAUACUGACGCUGAGGUACGAAAGCAUGGGGAGCAAACAGGAUUAGAUACCCCCGUAGUCCCUGUCUCUUAUAA